AUUGAACGCUGGCGGCAUGCCUUACACAUGCAAGUCGAACGGUAACAGGUCUUUCGGGAUGCUGACGAGUGGCGAACGGGUGAGUAAUACAUCGGAACGUGCCUAGUAGUGGGGGAUAACUACUCGAAAGAGUGGCUAAUACCGCAUGAGAUCUAUGGAUGAAAGCAGGGGACCUUCGGGCCUUGUGCUACUAGAGCGGCCGAUGGCAGAUUAGGUAGUUGGUGGGAUAAAAGCUUACCAAGCCUACGAUCUGUAGCUGGUCUGAGAGGACGAUCAGCCACAAUGGGACUGAGACACGGCCCAGACUCCUACGGGAGGCAGCAGUGGGGAAUUUUGGACAAUGGGCGCAAGCCUGAUCCAGCAAUGCCGCGUGCAGGAUGAAGGCCUUCGGGUUGUAAACUGCUUUUGUACGGAACGAAAAGUCUUGGGUUAAUACCCUGGGAUCAUGACGGUACCGUAAGAAUAAGCACCGGCUAACUACGUGCCAGCCGCCGCAGUAAGAC
rnacentral:rRNA from 1 species